rnacentral:rRNA from 1 species
UACAGAGGUCUCAAGCGUUGUUCGGAUUCAUUGGGCGUAAAGGGUGCGUAGGCGGCGCGGUAAGUCGGGUGUGAAAUCUCGGGGCUUAACUCCGAAACUGCAUUCGAUACUGCCGUGCUUGAGGACUGGAGAGGAGACUGGAAUUUACGGUGUAGCGGUGAAAUGCGUAGAUAUCGUAAGGAAGACCAGUGGCGAAGGCGGGUCUCUGGACAGUUCCUGACGGCUG